AGAACCAAUCAGGUCGCUCGUUUCUGGAGCAGCCAAUGAGGGGGGCGCUUCUUAUCGCGCCUUGAAACUCUCACGGCCGCCAUGAUGCUUGUUUGCCAUCAGAAAGAGCAGCGGAUCAGAAACAAAAGAAACGCGCACUCGUCUUUGUGAACUGGUAUGAGCUUACAGUAUUACAGGGAUGCCCAAGGAAAAAUAUGACCCGCCUGACCCAAGGCGGAUGUAUACUAUAAUGUCCAGUGAGGAGGCGGCCAAUGGGAAGAAGUCAUAUUGGGGAGAGCUGGAGAUUGUUG